rnacentral:rRNA from 1 species
UGAGGAAUAUUGGUCAAUGGGCGAGAGCCUGAACCAGCCAAGUAGCGUGCGGGAUGAAGGCCCUUGUGGUCGUAAACCGCUUUUAUCAGUGAAUAAAGUGCACCACGUGUGGUGUCAUUGCAGGUAGCUGAAGAAAAAGGACCGGCUAAUUCCGUGCCAGCAGCCGCGGUAAUACGGAAGGUCCGGGCGUUAUCCGGAAUUAUUGGGUUUAAAGGGAGCGCAGGCGGGAGUAUAAGUCAGCUGUUAAAUAUCAGGGCCCAACUCUGUUAUGCAGUUGAAACUAUAUUUCUUGAGUACGCACAGGGAUGGCGGAAUUCAGGGUGUAGCGGUGAAAUGCUUAGAUAUCCUGAAGAACUCCGAUCGCGAAGGCAGCCAUCCGGAGCGUAACUGACGCUGAGGCUCGAAGGUGCGGGUAUCGAACAGGAUUAGAUACCCUGGUAGUCCGCACGGUAAACGAUGAAUACUCGCAGUUCGGCCUUUUAGGUCGAGUUGUCCAGCGAAAGCGUUAAGUAUUCCACCUGGGGAGUACGCCGGCCGGUG